rnacentral:rRNA from 1 species
CGCGAAAACUUUACAAUGCGGGAAACCGUGAUAAGGGGACACCGAGUGCCAGCAUCAUAUGCUGGCUGUCCGGGUGUGUAAAAUACACCUGUUAGCAAGGGCCGGGCAAGACCGGUGCCAGCCGCCGCGGUAACACCGGCGGCCCGAGUGGUGAUCGUGAUUAUUGGGUCUAAAGGGUCCGUAGCCGGUUUGGUCAGUCCUCCGGGAAAUCUGAUAGCUUAACUAUUAGGCUUUCGGGGGAUACUGCCAGACUUGGAACCGGGAGAGGUAAGAGGUACUACAGGGGUAGGAGUGAAAUCUUGUAAUCCCUGUGGGACCACCUGUGGCGAAGGCGUCUUACCAGAACGGGUUCGACGGUGAGGGACGAAAGCUGGGGGCACGAACCGGAUUAGAUACCCGGGUAGUCCCAGCCGUAAACGAUGCUCGCUAGGUGUCAGGCAUGGCGCGACCGUGUCUGGUGCCGCAGGGAAGCC